GUGGGGAAUCUUGCGCAAUGGGCGAAAGCCUGACGCAGCAACGCCGCGUGAGGGACGAAGGCCUUCGGGUUGUAAACCUCUUUCAGCAGGGAUGAAGCGAAAGUGACAGUACCUGCAGAAGAAGCACCGGCUAACUACGUGCCAGCAGCCGCGGUAAUACGUAGGGUGCAAGCGUUGUCCGGAAUUAUUGGGCGUAAAGAGCUCGUAGGCGGUCUGUCGCGUCGGAUGUGAAAACUCGGAGCUUAACUCCGAGCCUGCAUUCGAUACGGGCAGACUAGAGUUCGGUAGGGGAGACUGGAAUUCCUGGUGUAGCGGUGGAAUGCGCAGAUAUCAGGAGGAACACCGGUGGCGAAGGCGGGUCUCUGGGCCGAUACUGACGCUGAGGAGCGAAAGCGUGGGGAGCGAACAGGAUUAGAAACCCCUGUAGUCC
rnacentral:rRNA from 1 species